AGCCUCCGCCCACCCGAGGGGGCGACUUCCGGAGCGUUAGGGGCUGAGUCUCCCGCCCACCCGUUCUGGCGUCUGAUGGGCGGGGCCGGAGCGACCGGCGGUUGGUCUGUCCUUGGACAGGCCCCAUCUUGGGUUUUGUUUCCUGUCCGCAAGCUCACCUCCCGGCCGUGAGCCUGCCUGUUGUGCAGAAUCUCUGGAAGCUACUGUGCAAAAGGCGUAGCGACUCCCGAGAGUUGCUCCCCACCAGGGAUGUGAGGCUUAACAACGGAGAGAUCCUUGCGUUUCAAAAAAAAAAUUUUUUCUUACUGGGGUAAAAUACCAACAGAAUUUACCAUUUUUAAAGUACCUCGUGAGUGGAUUCAUACAGUAUGAAUAUAUUCUUUCAUGUCUGGCUAAUUUGACUUAGCGCAAUGUCCUCUGGGUUUGUCUCUGUUUUAUGUGUCAGAAUCCCCCAGAUUUACUAUGUGACCCAAGAUUCCACUUGUACCAAAAGGAUUGGAUGCAGGGACAUAUUUAUGCAGGGCAUUUAUAGACCAUUAUUCACAGCAGCCAAAAUGUUGAAAUAACCCAAAUGUCCAUCAAUGGACAGAUGAAUAGAUGUGGUAUAGUUGACCCUUGAGCACAGAUUUUAACUGGAUGGGUCCUCUUGUAUGUGAAUUCUCUUCCAUAAAUACAGUAUUGUACUGUAAAUAUAUUUUCCUUAUGGUUUUCUUAGCAUUUUCUUUUCUCUAGCUUAUUUUAAGAAUACAGUAUACCUAUAGCACGCAAUAUCUGUGUUAACUGUUACUGGCAAGGUUCUGGUUAAUCAACAGUAGGCUAUUAGUAAAGGUUUGGGGGGAGUUACACAAGGAUUUUUGCCUACACAAGACGGUUGGUGAGUGUAUAUAUGUACACAGACACACAUAUAUGUGCAUAGGUGUCUGUGUGUAGGUACACAGUUGACUCCAAUUCCUCGCCUUUUAAGGUUAUUCAAUUUGUUUUUGUUAGUCUUCACCCUCAAAGUCACAAUGUAAAGUUUUUGGAUAAGGAAAUAACUUUCAAAAAUAACCAUUUGGAUGAGAUUAGAUGGGAGGUGCCAGUUAGGUAAUUCAGAGCUAGCAAAAGGAUUUUAGUUCCUAAAACCAACAGAUUAGAAUAUGCCCCGAUCGAGAAAGAAGGCAAUACUCUUGUUUUCUCCACUCACCUUUCCUGGCAGACCAGAUUAGCAGCGUGGCAUUAGUCACUGUGCUGCCCUUUCCAGUUCACCAUGAGGCAGUUAAUUUUAAGACCUCAGAUUAGUUUCAUUACUAAAAGGUCAUGAAUGAAGGGGUUGGGAAUGUACUCCAAAGCCUUUAAUUUCCAGAUCAUUAGUUUGGUAUAGACAGAAGUCUCCAGACAAAACAACUCUGUCAUCUGCAGUUAGAUUAUCAUAAUUAAUGGGAAGUGAAUCUUAAGGGCUCAGCUGAAGGGGAAAAGACCCCCUAAGAGAUCGACUGCAGCAUACCUAAGUAUUACUACUAUCCCAAAUAAUACCUAAAAGGAACCUUGGUGUACAAAAGAUAAGCCUGGGUGAUUAUCUACCCAUUUGAUUUACAGAGGAAUUGGAGGCAGAUUGUUUUAACUCUUUGUAGUACCUGGCCCGCUUAAAAGAUAGGACUAAGGGGUGCCUGGGUGGCUCAGUGAUUGAGCAUCUACCUCUGUCUCAAGUAGUGAUCCUGAGGUCCUGGGUUCAAGUCCUGCAUCAGGUUUCCCCCUGCCUAUGUCUAGGAAGCCUACUUCUCCCUCUGCUUAUGUCUAUGUCUCUCAUGAGUAAAUAAAUCUUAAAAAAAAAAAAAAAAAAAGGUUGGACUAAGAGUUGGACUUAAUCUAUGGCAUGAUAGUAAAUUAUUAUAAAAUAUUCAGGAAAGAAUAGAUUAUAAACUUUAUAAUGAAAGAUUUACAGCAGUAGUAACACACAACUUUUAAAAUUUCCUCCAUGGUUUCAGGCCUGCCUUCCCAUAGGGCCAUAAAAAUUUUCAUACCAAUCACAGAGUUUACCAUGGAUUAAACACUUCUCAAAAUUGUGAAUUGAAAUAGCAAGCUAGGAAAUAGUAUUUCUCCUUUGUCUGAGUUAAAUUAAGCAUAUUAUUGAAGGCAGUGAAGCAGACAGUUAUGCCUGAUGGGAAUUUUAAGUGUUAAACUGGGAUUAAAACCUGCCUUUUGGUUUGUAUUAGACAGUAUCAGGCAGUCAAAUGUUAAAUAUCCCUCUAUAACUUAAAAUUGACACAGUACUUAAGUUUGAUGAUGUAGAAAAUCUAAAGUCUACUUAUGCUGAAAGGAAUUCUAUUAAUCAUUUAGUUUGUUCACUUUCAUUGUAUUUCACUUAAUCUAUUGAAGAGUUGGCCAGCCACCUGACAUUAAGCAUUAGGUUGCACUUGGGGAACCAUUGUUUUAACUAUAAUUACAUGCCUGUGAAAGACUUGUCCAUAUGAAAAUUUAAAGCAUGGGAGAUUGCCAUGUAAUUUCUACUUCCAGUUGAGCAACCUAAAUGACAAUGUUCCUCAGUUUGUACUCCCAAAGAAAUAACAUAGGAGUAGGAUAGAGUCAUUUUAGGACUUGCUAAAGAAGCUUAGGU